rnacentral:tRNA from 1 species
GAGAGUACAGCUCAAGUGGUAGAGUGCGUGCUUAGCACGCAUGAGGUCCUGGGUUCAAGCCUCAGUACUCUCU